ACGUCCUAACAGUUGCAGCACUUCGGAUACUGUCUUUCAAUGUCAAGGAAGUUGAUGGUCUGUCAUCUUUGUUUGUGCGAGAGGAGGACCCGAGCGUUCCUGCAACCCCUUGCAUCGUAUUUUCUGGAGCAGACGUUGUAGAGGCUGACCUUCUCCACAUCAAGGUGGACCGCGAGAAGUUUGCGGUGAAAAAUGGGGAGGAGGGGCUGGCGGCUGUCUUAUCUGCUGACUGGCUCUUCAAUAUCCAGUUCGACCGCAAGCUGUUCAACACUCUUGUCGUGUUGGAGCGCCUUUUCCUCGGGCUCACAUUGAGUGCCCCUAGAGUAGUGGCUACAAAGUUCUUGAACAAAGUCACCAAAAGUGAGCCAUGUUGAAUGUGCUGUUGGCCGUCUUGGCCGUAACAAUAUUUAAGUGGUAACAAACUUUUGACAACAAAGUGGUAACUUUUGAUAACAAAAAAAAUUUAAGUCUAGCAAACUUCCGUUGUGGAGGCAAAUCAAGUAACCAAUGCAUUUCGGAAACAGAGUCAAUGCGAUAAUACCGGGAAAGAAUGAACCUUGCAGAUUUUUUCUAUAUCUUAAUGCGAUUUAUUAAUCCUGAUUGAAACGGAUCUCAAAUGACACUGGCAUACUCUAACGUCGGUCUAAUGUAAGUUAAAUAUGCAAGUACUUUGAAGGGUGUGGUUGCCAGCUUUAAUUUUCGGCGAAGGAAGCAUAACUUUUUUUUUUUUUGCAGCUCCACAAGUUCUGUUUACGUGUGAUUUCCAACUUAAGUCUUUAGAAAUUGUUAAGCUUGGGUAUUUUAUCGUUUCGGCUUCAGGUAUAAUCGUUGAGUUCAUCCCAUAAUUACGCUCAAUAACAUGCUUCCUUUUGUUUGUAACUCUGAGCAGGACUGAUUUAGAUUCGUUAAUUUUCAUUUUACUUCUUAUGGCCCAGACUUCUACAGCUUUAAGGGCUUGACUAAGUGACGCCUGGUCGUUUUGGUUAUUGAUUUCACGAUAUAAUAAACAGUCGCCUGCAAAUAACAGGAUGGUUAUGUCGUUAUUUAUGUGAUGAGCAAUAUCAUUUAUUUAAACUAGAAAAAGAAGUGGUCCUAGAACGGAUCCCUGUGGAACGCCUGAGGUUAUCUUUAAUUGGUUAGAUUUGUUACCAUUUAUAUCAGCGUAUUGUGUCCGAUCUGUAAGAUAUGAGCGGAUCGACAUAACAUAAUUUAUAUUCAUUUCCAUCAGUUUUUUUUAAUUAAUUCGUUAUGUACGACCAGAUCGAAAGCCUUCGAGCAAUCUAAAAAUAUAGCGUCGACCUGCUUUCUAUUGUUCAGUUGUAUUGUUCUAUUUCUAUUGUUCAUAUGUAUUCGUGUUGCAUUAAUUAUUGAUGUUCUUAAUAAAUUUACUUUGAAACCAAAA